rnacentral:rRNA from 1 species
AACGAACGCUGGCGGCAUGCCUAACACAUGCAAGUCGAACGAAGGCUUCGGCCUUAGUGGCGCACGGGUGCGUAACGCGUGGGAAUCUGCCCUUGGGUUCGGAAUAACAGUGAGAAAUUACUGCUAAUACCGGAUGAUGUCGAAAGACCAAAGAUUUAUCGCCCGAGGAUGAGCCCGCGUAGGAUUAGCUAGUUGGUGAG